GAUGAACGCUGGCGGCGUGCCUAAUACAUGCAAGUCGAGCGAAUGGAUUAAGAGCUUGCUCUUAUGAAGUUAGCGGCGGACGGGUGAGUAACACGUGGGUAACCUGCCCAUAAGACUGGGAUAACUCCGGGAAACCGGGGCUAAUACCGGAUAAUAUUUUGAACUGCAUGGUUCAAAAUUGAAAGGCGGCUUCGGCUGUCACUAAGGGGUGGAUCGUCGUCGCAUUAGCUAGUUGGUGAGGUAACAGCGCACCAAGGCAACGAUGCGUAGCCGACCUGAGAGGGUGAUCGGCCACACUGGGACUGAGACACGGCCCAGACUCCUACGAGAGGCAGCAGUAGGGAAUCUUCCGCAAUGGACGAAAGUCUGACGGAGCAACGCCGCGUGAGUGAUGAAGGCUUUCGGGUCGUAAAACUCUGUUGUUAGGGAAGAACAAGUGCUAGUUGAAUAAGCUGGCACCUUGACGGUACCUAACCAGAAAGCCACGGCUAACUACGUGCCAGCCGCCGCAGUAA
rnacentral:rRNA from 1 species